CUACGGGCUGCUGCAGUGAGGAAUAUUGGUCAAUGGGCGAAAGCCUGAACCAGCCAUGCCGCGUGAAGGAUGACAGCCCUAUGGGUUGUAAACUUCUUUUGUACGGGAAGAAACACCUCUACGUGUAGAGGCUUGACGGUACCGUACGAAUAAGCAUCGGCUAACUCCGUGCCAGCAGCCGCGGUAAUACGGAGGAUGCAAGCGUUAUCCGGAUUUAUUGGGUUUAAAGGGUACGUAGGCGGGAAAUUAAGUCAGUAGUGAAAUCCUACAGCUUAACUGUAGAACUGUUAUUGAUACUGGUUUCCUUGAAUAUAGUUGAGGUAGGCGGAAUAAGUAAUGUAGCGGUGAAAUGCUUAGAUAUUACUUAGAACACCGAUUGCGAAGGCAGCUUACUAAGCUAUGAUUGACGCUGAGGUACGAAAGCGUGGGGAGCGAACAGGAUUAGAUACCCCAGUAGUC
rnacentral:rRNA from 1 species